CCUGUCUGGGCCCUCUCCUUCCCCACAGUGCCGUGGAGGCCAGGGAGGGAGAGAGAAACUAUAUCUGCCUUGCUUGGAGGGAGGCCCUUCCCUGGCCUCCAAGGAAAAAGAAAACCUGGCUGGCUCAGACCCCCCAGAAUCCGCUGAAGCUGGCUCCAGGGACAACACAGAUGCAGCAAGUGCUCCUGGAAGCUCAAAUUGCAAAUGUUGACAGGAAAUUUUCAAGGAAGCAAGCAUGCUGCUCCAGACAGUAGGCCUCUACAAGAUACCCUUGAAUAGCAGCAGGGCUAGGAGAAUGAAAGGCAGCAUAAAGAAAAUGAAUUUCCUCUUAAAGAAAUGAAAGCAACCUUUUGAAAUUACAACCCUGGUUGUGUGAUGUUGCAUUUGAGAGUUGUAGUCUCAGUUUGCAACCUAGGAUUUGCUUAUCCUUGGCGCACAAGAAUUGCAAUAAUCUGAUACGGUACAGUUUUAAAAAAUCAUUUGGAGAAGUAAAUACCUGAACAUCUUGUCUUAAACAUUUUAUUCAUCAUGCUAAAAUAAAACAUCCUGUAAUCUA